GUCAGUGAUAAUAAACAAGAAGGAGGGAUUUCCAAGGGAGCAGAGCAUUAAUAAGCUGCCUUUGUUUCUGGCAUUGGCGCUGAUGAGCACAGAAGGUGUUGAAGCAUAGAAGCCAGCUGACCCAGAGUAUAAUGAAGCACUAAGAUGGAGUGGAAGAAUUGCCAAGAAAUUCAAGCUGGGCUACUUGUGCAAGAAGCUACAAUGAGAAAAAAAAUAGCAAGAAAUAGAUGAGGGAAGGAGGUUCUGUAGAGGGAAAAACAAAGAGAGAAAAGGAGAAUGAAUUGUGCUGAGAAAGAGAUGCCUGGAUGAAGAAGCUGGCCCUAGCACCCAUAAAGCUGGAAAGAAAGUGGGGCCUUGGAAACUUCUGGAAGGAUGCGAGGAAAGAAAAAUGCAAGGAAAUGAGAUGGAGAGGAGAAAGAGAAACCAGGAAGCACUUCGGAAGCAUGUAAAUUACAAGGAAAUGAGGAACAGCCUUUAUUGAAACAGUCUGUGAAGUCUGUGCUAGCGCUGAGAGCUUCAUUUUACUGUCCUGGCAAGGAGGUAGGUGCUCAAAGAACUUUGUCUUGGAAGCCCACUGUGGCUCCCCCGGGCCUGGCACUUUAAGCCCCGUACUUUUGCUCUCACUGUUCCUCUCUGCCUGCUCCCUGUGGUCUCUUCUCGGCUGUCUCCCACUUAGCCCACCUUGGCCUGGCCAUCCGAGUAGAAUAGACUUUCAUUUUCCUUAGGUGUGCGCCGCGCAUACCGACUAACCCACUUCCUGCACAGGUGUGGCCCCUCUCCAGUGCCCAGCACCUCAUCGCUGUGGUAACAGAAGACACGCUUAUCUUCCGGAUUUUGCCUCAGAGACUUGGGCUGUACAAGCUGCUUUCCUGGGGUGGCUUGUCCUUUUGCAGUUAACCGAGAUGCCUGGGGAGAAGAGCUUCCCCCAACAGGAUGGCAGGCGAUGCUUCCAGAUGCGGUCACUUGGCACGUCUGAGCCGAAUGUCUCCAUAAAAAUAUGAUGUAAUUAACAGAGCCGCAGCAGCUGGAACAAUUCAGCACCUCACAUUGAUUUUCCAUGUCUCCUAUUUACUUUCAGUUUUUAAACUGUCUGCAGUGACAGGAAAUCAAAGAAUUAUAAUGGUGUGUGUGAGGGCCCAAUGCUGGGUCGGCAUUUCCUUGUGAAAUCCUGAGAUUAAUCAGUUUCCUAUCACUCAAUCAUCCCUUUUCACUUCUAAAGGAAAACUGUCCUCCCAAAUGCUACGAAAUAGCAGUCUAUUUUUGGAUAUUAAAAAAAUCAAUUGUAUUAUUUUAAAAUUUGAGAGGAGUGUUUUUAAAAAAAGUCAGCCCGAAGCAAUAUUCACUUAUCUGUUUUCCCAUUCAAGUUUAAUAGGAGUUGGCAAAGGCAUUUGGGUGCAGUGAGACACAAGUACUAUAUUCACCCUUCCCAAGUUUUGAGAGCUUGGAAAAGUUACUUGGUGGAACCAAAGAGAGGAACUGCAUUCCAAGUUUUUUUGAUCACUGAAAUGAAGGAAAAUAAGUUUCCCCAUAUGUGGUUAUUCAUGAGCCUUCAUCUGAAGCUGGUGGUUUUCUCAUAGUUGGUCACUGUAUUUCCAGCUCUGUCAGGUGAAAGUCAGAAUCUUGGGUUAAUUUCACUUUGGGUUCCUUAAAAUGCUGGAGAAAAUAGGCAGCUGCGGUUGUAGUGGGGAAACAGGCCUCUGUCUGAAGUCAGCUUGCUCUAGAUUGUGUUUGAAAACAUGCCUCAGAUUUAAGUGGUCUUGCUUUUUUUCCAGACUCCCUUGCCUUGGCAGAUUCUGUGUCUUGGCCAUACUGUAAGAACUCACUUUUCUUUGUCUUUUUAUUGAUUCAAGCAAUAUAACCAUUUCAUAAAUAAUUAGGAAAAUAAAGAAGAAAAUUUCUCAUAAUUCUACUGCUCAAACGCAAUAGCUAUGAUUGCUUUGGAGCAAUUGCUUUGGGUCAUUUUCAAAUGCUGAGUUUUGGUAUGAUUCUAAGCAUAAUGUACAAACAACUUUACAUGUUGCUUUUUCACUUAAUCUAUGUCAGAAGCAUCUCCCCAAGUUAUGAUUAGCUUCAGUAAUUAUCUUUUUAAUUGCUGCCCAAACAGCUGGAACAAUUCAGUCCCUCUUAUUGACUUUCCAUGUGUCCUAUGGAAGUAGAGACAGUCUAUUAACUAUUUCUGUAUUUUGGGACAAUAGAUCAAAUUCAUUUUUCACUGUAAUUAAUCCCAUGAUAAGUAUCUUUAUAAAUAAGCCUUUUCUAUAUAUAAGAUAAUUUCUUUAGGAUAAAUUCCUAGAAAUUACAGGGUCAAAGUGGAUACAUAUUUUAUGACUCUUGAUAUUUCUUAUUGA
ensembl:lncRNA LINC01915 long intergenic non-protein coding RNA 1915